rnacentral:lncRNA from 1 species
GGCAACAGACAUGGAGGAGCACUGCUGCACCAGACUGCUGCCUCCCUGCACUCUUGGGCCGAAAUAGCUUAUGGGCCACAACCGACCCUCAACUGUAGUACCACAUGGAGGGCAUCCCCGCUCCUUCGUCUGCACCUUACACUCGUCGUGAGCCUGCACUGGAUAGGAGCAGGACACACUCGAGCAGCCAUACACAGCCACACAAUAGCCGCCAGGAUUGGCAUACGCUGCAACACUCAGUUUAGGCAGGCUGCCUACCAGGCCGCUAUUAGGACAGCUACUAUCAUCCACACAGGACUCGAUAAGCUAUGCGUCAGCCUCACCAUUGCAACCACAACAACUGCCGUUUACCUACUCUGGAAACACCUUCUACAAACUAGAGCACACACAACAGUGCCACAAACAGACACAUGCAUGAACGGCCUGAUCCUCAGCCUGCUCAUCUUGGGCCCCACGCUCGCCACCCUCGCCCUCUCACCCCUGUGCAUCCUGGCCGUAGGCCGCCCUUUGCCUCCAAGCACUCCUCCGCCAAACAGCUAACAUAACAAGACACGUUACCGCCACUGCAUGGCACCGGCGGCCCCUUCUACUCUGGGGUGCAGCCCUGGCCCUCACGCUGCACAGCCUUUACCUCAACAUACCCGACCCCUGUAGUGUGGAAAAGCCACACAUGGCAAUCCUGGGCCCGACAGUAGCCACAAGCCUGCUGAGUGCCAACCAGACCAAAUCUCUCCUGCUUGCGCACGUGCCUCACCAGCCACAUGCGGCACACUAUGUCAAGCCAACCCUACGAGGCGCACUGACCAUCGGCCCAGCGGCACAACCCGCCCAGGCCAGCAUGCACACACGGGCACCCACCGCACUGCACUGGCCGCCAAACUCCAACAACGCAUACCGUGAACCACAGCGGCAACACUUCUGCAGUGUCCACGCCCUCAACAACUCUUUGGGGCUCGCAUGGCUCGACCCCGUAGAUGUCCUCUCUUAUGCUAAACGAGUGCACGCUCACCUUACAGCCACACAGGAUCCAAAUGCCCUGUUCUGGAAAGAAUGCUACUGCCCCAACAGUGGCGCCUUCAGCGAACUUCUCCUGAACCACUACCUGUACCACAAUGCCACCAUCAGCAACAUAUUCGCCUACCCCAACAGGAAGCUGAUUAUGCGCCGAACCCACUUUCCGCGACUCAAUGGCGACAUCAGCAAAGAAAAGGUCCUAGAGAACCUUCCGGUAGCCGCCCGAACUCGCGGCUUUACCGUCCACCAGUACACUGUGCGACACACAAUUGCUGUGCGUUACGAAGCAGGACAAUGGAGAGUAAUAGACUCGGUGAACAGCCCUAUCCACAACACGGUCUUACACGACAACACUUGGAACACACUCGAUGGGGAGGUCUGGUGCCUUGACGCGGUGCGUGCAUCUGACACGGCAACACUUCAGGACGCACUUGGGCAACUCCGUGAGAUCGUCCCGCCACCACGCCCGCCACCCCACAUGGAGGCCACCAGACCCGUGCAGACAGGGCCCGCCGCUAUAGGAAGGCCGGCACCAGAGCCAGCUCAACAUGCCCAAGACAACUCACCGCUGCGGGCAGCACACAGGGCGCCACAGCAUGCAGCACCCCACACUACCGCACCCGCGCAGCCACACAACACAAAUGCUGGCAUAGCACCCCGGCUCAACACGACAGGCACCCGACAAACUAUCCUUAACUGGCUAGUACGGCCCACCGCACGCAACCAUGCCCACAUGGAACCCAACCAGGCACACACAAACACGCGACCCCCCAGCAGCAACACCACCCUACACAUCGUGACCCACAAUGUACGGGGACUGCUCUCAUACAUUUUGUCCACCGGCCAACCCGGCAACCUCAGCUUUACCCUCUGCAACCUAGCCCAGUGGAAAGCCGACAUAGUUGUCCUCACCGAGACAAAACUGACAGGGAAGACUGACUCUAUCAAGCGAGCCUUCCGAAAUGAAGGAUACCGCCUCUACUGUAGCACUACUCCCCGCGUGGCCACAGCGCGCGGCAGCGCUGGCGUAGCAGUGGCCAUCUCCGCCCGGUACAGUGACCUCGGCUGUGUCACACACCACACGCCCCCACCAACACUCCAUGGCUAUGUGUCACACGUUCAAAUCAAGACCCCCGGGAGCACGCCUCUCACUGUACUGGGCAUCUACGCACCAGAGGACAUGCAAACCCGCAAGGCAAUCUACACAUACUGUCAGCAGGUGGUAGGCCGGGCGGACGCGUGCGGACACCCCCUAGUCACCGCGGGAGACUUGAAUGCCGUCGCCCGAGCACAUGAGCGGGACAGCCCCAUCGACACGGCGGACCGGGCCCACCAGCGGUUCCUUGCCGAUAGUGGCCUGUGCCCUAUCCGCGGCGACACCACUACCACUGCCGAAUGGUCAUAUGAACAAAGACGCCCGGGCAUGGCCCCAUACCACAGUCGCAUCGAUGACAUCCUCCUAUGCCCUGCCACGCGCGCUGCAUGCACAGAAGCGCGUGAAUACACCAGUACAGUUGCAGGCAACUUUGACCACAAACCAGUCCACGCAGAAUUACUAGCCGCGGACCUACAGCUAUGGCCGGCACCACAGGCCGGCGCCCGGAACCCAGCCCCCCAGCAGCAGACCCAACAACGAUGGGCCGAGGUCGCCCUGCCCGUCACACAAAAGCAACUGGCCGCCGCAGCUAUCCGCCUUGAGGAAGCCUUGGUGGAAGCAACAGCCGACCUGCAUUCCGCAACAAGGCAGGCAACGCAAUCAAUUGAACAUGUACUCACAAGGCACAGCAUGGACCCCACAGGCUACCCCGCCAGCGUCAUGCACCGAGACCUGGCACAGGACACGAGCAUCCAGAAGGCCGAUAUCAACCAAAUUGCAGAACAACUUGCCUCCGCACUGGACACCGGGCUAACAUGCCUCCUUGAAGAGUGCACCCGGAAAGCCCCCUUCACUGGCAAACACCACGCAUCACGCUCCACCGCACGGGUGCUAAAGCCCCUAUGGGACAAGGAAGUGGCCCUGAAGACACAACUGACAAACCUCACGCAAGGGCCCCAGGCCCUACCUGAGGUAGACGCCGCUAAUGCAGCAGCAAAGCUGCGGAACGAAAUAAAGGCCUGCCAGGCCGAGCACCGCCAGCUAGUGGCGGACCGCGCCAAAGCCCAGCGAGAGGCCGCUGCCACAGCGCUGCAACACACCCUGGCCACGCGCCCUGCACAGGGACACAAGAGAAUCUUUCAGAAGGAAGACAUGAAACGGGGUCUCCCAGCGGUCCGGAACCCAGAAACUGGGGAGGUGACGACUGACUCCACCAGCAUCCUCGCCAUACUCGAAACCCACUUCCGAAAGCUGUCCGCCCCACCACGCGGCACCCGCACUGGGGACUUCCGGCUACCCAGCAACACCACACGCGGCUACCCAUUUGAGAAAGCCGACGCAACAGAUCAAUUCACACUGGACCGCAACCGGCACCCUGACACACACUCCAUGCUCCCCAGCAUGGCAGACACGGCAAAUUUUGAGCAGUGCAUUUCUCACCCCUCCAGAGUCAAGGCGACAGGCCCUGACGGCAUACCAAACGAACUGCUCCGUAUCCUGCCAUCAGGCAUGAAGCGCAACCUCCACUGUAUCCUGCAAAUCAUGUACGUGAAGUCACAAAUACCUGAAACCUGGGCCGCAUCGGAGACCGUGCUACUCCCCAAACCUGGAGACGCCCUGGAAACAAGGGGUGUCAGCUUUGUACAGCUGGAAAAUGGGCUGAGCCCCCGUACGCUUGGGAGCUAAUAGGGUGUAACGCCCCGUCAGAGCCUCCAGCCGCUACGACGCGCAGGCGCAUCGGCUAGGGACACUCGGGUUGGGGUCGUGCGGGAUUUCCCGCGCCACGCAUGCGUGCCUUGUCACGUUCCCAAACACCCCAAGCCUUUCUCUAGCCUCCUGCCAUACUCAACACCUCCCCGGCGCCCCACGCUCAAAGGGCUAGGCGCGGGGCGGGGGCGACCUCGGGGCUUCUCGGCAUUCUGGCGCGUCGGCAGGCAUGGCUCGGCAAGUCGCUCAAAACUUUCGAUAUACUUCCCCGCUUUGCUUGCCGCCAACAUAGUUUGCCUUAGAGGCUGCAUAUCAGCGGGCACCGGAUGCUUUCCUUGCGACCUCGCGAAAGUCAAUUGUCCAUGGACGCGCGAAGGCACUUCUCGCUCCGCCCGAAUUUUCCCUGCCACCUAUUUACACGCAAUAGACAUUAGCAAAUAAUAAUACGUAGCACUCGCGGUUUGCGCCAGUAUGCUAUGUUUUGCCGACGCACGAACGCAGCCACGGACAGGGGUGUUCCUGGGGGGCUUCGCCCCCCCCUGGAACGCUGCGCUGGGGGGGCUCAGCCCAAUAAAAAACAAACGGCCCAUUGCGCUCGCAAAUACCUGCUACAAGCUGUACACGUCCAUGCUUACCUUGGGCAUUGGCGAACUGGCUGGCCCCCUCCAGCUAUUCAGUGAAGCGCAGGAAGGCUUCCGUGCCUACUGCAACACCGAAAGGCAGGUCCUAAACUUAGUCCACGCCCUUGAGGAUGCCGCACUGUUUGGAAAAGAUGUCUAUGCGGUAUACGUGGACUAUAGCUCCGCGUUUAACACAAUCGACCAGGACCGAUUACUACAAAUUAUGUUUGACCUUGGGCUGCCAACGGACCUGAUCCGCGCAGUCCGCAACCUAUAUGCACAUGCGACCACCCGCAUCCGCACCGAACACGGAAGCACAUCCGCCAUUCCUAUAGAGCGAGGCACCGUGCAAGGUGAUACACUCUCACCUGUGCUCUUUAUUCUGUUCAUGGAACCUCUUGUCCGCUGGCUCCAUGCGGGCGGACGGGGCUACCACUACGGCUGCCUGACCCCCAGCGAAAACCUGCAAUACCAUUGCAGUGCCGCCGCGUACGCAGACGACCUGGCGGCGCUCACCAACUCGCUCGACGACCUGCAGGUUCAAUGUGACAAAAUCGCAUCUUACGCCGAGUGGGCGAGCCUGCGUGUCAAUCACACCAAGUGUGCCACCACCGCCAUCUGGCACGACAAGUCUCGCUCGGACCCCAACCUUGACGGGCCCACAGGAAAAGCUACCCUUGCCGCCAUGCGCCGCAACAUGACCAACACAAUUAAGAUUGGCACGACCCCUGUCCCGUACUUCCCCCCGACCCAGCCGUACAAGUACCUGGGCGUGCAGCUCACUUUCUCGCUGGACUGGUCGGCACAUGUCGCAAGAGUCACCGAGAUUGUGAAAGACAAGGGCACAGCCAUCGCCACAUCCCUGGCAACGCCGGCACAACGCCUGCGCAUGAUACAACAGUGCGUGCACACCACAGUUGCAUAUGGGCUCGCAGCAAUGCCCUUCACAAAACAGGACAUAACAACGCUCGACACUACACUGGCUGGUUAUGCAAAGCGUUGCUAUGGGCUCCCCCGCAGCUUCCCCACCCGGACCUGCCUCCUGCCCGCCGACGAAUACGGCUUGGGCCUGGGCUCCCUCCUGCCGCAAUACGCGCGCGUGGCCCAGCGGGCCCUGGUCCUUGCCCUAAAUGACUCGGGCCGUCUUGGGAUAGUAACCCGAGCCCUUCUGCCGCGCCAGGCAAGCAUAGCUGGCUCCACACACGCCCACCUUCUCCCAGCCCAUAGGUCACACCACCUUACGAUGCUGAAACAGAUGACCCUGGCAAAAGAGUACGGUGUCGUACUGUAUCAAAACGGGUCUGCCUUUACAGCGCCUACCUGGUCCAUUGCCGCUGCCCUUGAGGCAGAAGCCGAGGCCCGGGGCGUUGAACCUCUUCCCGUUGAAUACGUCCUCCCUCUUGCGGACCUGAGGCUCGAACUGAGCCACCUGGUGGACCGCAACACAGGCAAACACCUGAUCACUAGCUCGGACCUCGAGAAGCACAUGGGUGCGAGCCGGGUCCGACACAAGCACAAGGUAGCCCUCAACAGGCUCAGCCUCGCGCUCAGUAUGGCUGGACGUGCAGGGGAAAACGCCCCAGCCCACGGCAGCCCUGCCCCCCUGACCACCGCACAGCGCACUCUGCCCGACGUAGCCACAAUCAUAGCCUUAGCCAUGAGGCCCGACCCCCUCCCCCCUGGAAUGGCCAGCCCCCUCGACCGGCACCUGCAGCCCCUCCCGGAGGCGCCCCCCGCCCAAACAAACACCACGCAAGCCCCCGCCGACCUGCCCCCCCCCCUCCCCAGCAGGGGGGGGGCCAGGCCCAACCCGACGCACAUGGCCCUGCGGCCGCACCGGAAGCCCCUGCUGAUGGGGCAACGCAGCCCUCCCUACGACCCCCGGCCAGAGCCCGCAAGCCGGCUACAAUCCGCCGGCCACCACAGAACCAAACACGCACACGGCGCGUUACAAAACAUGCAGCACAACGCGCACGCAUUGCAGAAACCACGCGCACUACCCCUGAGGACCUACUCACCGGGGACCGCGCCGCCAUCAACCAUGCCCUGCGGCUCACCAACGGCGACGAGAGCCUGCCGGUGGGCACGCGGGGGUACGGAACGGCAUGCUCGGUAUUCCAAGCGCUCACCAAAGACAUGACAGGACACAUGCGGAUCGGCCACCCACACCCCCAAGACCCACCAUCCCUUGCACAUGCUGUCGAACCACGCCAACAGCGCCGUGGGCUACCACCCGCCCUCACAUCCCGUCUCACGGCGAAUGCCGCCAACCCCGAACCCAACGCCAUAAGCGAGUAUCUGAACAACACAGCAUUACCUAUGAAAAACAACCAGGCUGCCGCUCAUAACGACCCCAUCGACGCUGAUAGCCCGACGCCGCCCCUGACUGCCCCGGCAGCGCAAGCUGCGGGAGGUCACGGGGCCCGUCCCAGCUGGCGACUGGCCCGCGCCAGGAUCACACACGAUCUAGUCCCACGGCCCACCGACAACCGCACUAACGGUGACACUCAACUCACCUACGACCUGGACAAUGACGGACAGGAACUGGCACAGGUCCUGCACAGCGAAAACAAACAAACUGUCACGGACAAAGAACUGACACGGAAGCGCAAAGCCAGAGAGGACACCUCUGGGACACGUGAAAAAUACUGGAAGGUGCAGUGGAAGCCGUCCAUUUGCCCGGCCGGCAUUGUCUCUGCUUUUGUUCGCAUGGGCUACGCAACUAUCCAGAAUGCCAGGUGCUACAAGCACCCUCUUGCGACGCGCCCAGGCCCACAACCUGCGCAGACCGCGGCUGAGCCACCGACCCAAGCCCACGCAAUCUCACCUGAAGAGCCCGCCCAAGCUGCGGAGCCGGCAGCACCGCAGCCCACUGGGGCCCCCCUAUUCUCGUCCUGGACGACCAAACUCCUGCGACAUGUCACGUGGGCGCCGAGAACGGACCGUGAAAGGGACCUAAAACACAGUCCACAAUGGGAGGAGUUACUGGAGGAGUGCAAAACCCGGCUAGCAAACGGUACCAACCAAAGCCCGCGGCCCCGAACAGUGCGCCCCGCACCUGAUCGGAACCUUACCGCCAGACAGCGCCAAGGCCGCCACGACGCCGAGCCCCUGGAUACCGCAUCCCGCGCGCGUGACAUCCGCACGACCACCACCAUUACCACAAGCCCGUGCAACCCCUACAAGGACAUCGUGGCCCCCGGAGCAUACACUAUUACCACCACUGGUGGCACCCGCCGUGACCCAGCUGAGGCGCACAUCCAUGAACCCAGUGGCCGCUGGCUGGGCACCAUCACCUACCCCCGCCUCCUUGCCCUGUGGGAGCGCUUCAGGCACACCGGCAACCAGCGGCCCAACGCCUUUGAGGAAGCGGUCGCUGCUCUCAUCAUGCGCUACCGCUAUGACCCGGCGCAGCAGGACCGCAAGGCCAUGCCAAUGCACCAGGUGUCGCUGCCGGCAGGCACAGUAGCAGCCAUCGUCCAAUGCCUGCGGGUCACACAAGCAGUACACGUUCGGGAAAUGUUUGCGUCCCCACUAAACUCCUCCACUGCAGCCCACGAAUACUGGACACGAGACCCUGCUGAUGGGGCCUUUGGCGCACUGCACGAUGCCUACCAGACCGCAUGGACCGGCUUGCAAUAUGCCCACCCCCCCUCUACCCCCCACGAUGCACGGAAGGCGCUCAUGUGGGCCCUCGCAUGCGCCGAGGCUAUGCGUGACUCACAGGAACCAACCCUUACUGUAUUGGCGCUCCCCUCCCCGGUAGCUCAAUUGGUAGAGCAUGCCGCUGUCACAUGGCAGACCCAGGUUCGAAUCGCAGAUUCGGCCAGGUUGAGGCUGACAAGUAUAGAUGCAGGUUCGGAUCCUGCCCGGGGAACCGAGUCAGUAUUCCGGUAUGGAGUCCGCGGUACUGACGGAAGCGUUGUAGCGACUCUCUGGGUUCGGAUCCCAUUGUUGCAACGUGGAAACUUCACGAUGGCCGAAUUCGGAGAGUUGGUAGGCCGAUAGGUCCAGAACUUCGGUUCCUAUGGACUGAGUGAAGGUGGAUGCGUGGGGUGCCUCUUGCCAAGGUCCCACAGAGAUACGGUAGGGUUAGCCUCGAUGGGACUCUUCCUUAAGGCACGCGGGACCUUGGUCCGUGCGUAGGUAUUAUUAUUAUUAUUAUUAUUGGCGCUCCCCAAAGCGGCCACUUUCCCCCACACGCAGUGGCUUCAACACCCACUUUGCCACGAGCUGGCCAACUGGUCCGCGGGCACCGCGGGCCUUGACACAGGACUUGGCACCAACACCCAGGCUGAACGCCAGAAGGGGCUCCGACUGGUCAUUGUUGGGAACCCCGCCGGACUCCAGUGCUUUGCCCCCCGCCUGAAACGGCUCGUGGACACACUGAAGCGGGGGGCGAACACACCCACGCACAUCAGCGACCCGCGCACAUGGACACACACGGCCACGGCCCCAACCUGCCCGGCCCUCCCAAACUCACUUCUAAAGCAAGCCAAAUACCAGCACGCUAACCCAAAGACGAUACACGCCAUGGCUGACGAAGCACGACGCUUUCCUAACGCGCGAUUCCAGACCCACCAUGCUCUGGCCCACGACGUGAAUGGCACUGUCUGGACAGAUGGUUCGGUAAGCAAAAUCAAAACUGAAAAUGGCAAAGAAGUCCAGGUUGCCGGCGCCUGCGCCUGGUUCAGCGAUUCUCGCGUUGUCUACGUGAAUCCAAAUGGCGCUGGGUGCACUAACACUAUUACGGGAGCUGAACUGGCAGCAAUUUGUGCUGCCCUCGCAGCAUUUGGUGGCGAAGGUAAAGAAUUUGCAACUAAGAAGCUCACUAUUGCAUCAGAUUCUGUUGCAAGCUUGUACCUAAUCAAACGAGCAAUCAACGAGCCUCGGCGACUGCAUCUGAGUAAACAUCGGGACCUCCUGGAUUCAAUCGUGGCAUUGCUCCAUGCACGCCACGCCCGGGGCGCACCCACCGCUCUGAUUAAAGUGAUCUCGCACACCGGGCUACACGGCAACGAGGAAGCCGAUAAAGGGGCGGCUGCCGUCGCCACCCAGGAAAAAACCGCCGAUGUAUCCGAACCGGCCGACAACGACCCGCACGCCCGGCACUGGUGGCCGACCUUCACGGUCACCAGGGACGACGAUAGCACAGCCACGCACUACGUGUCGGACCUAAACCGGGGCCUCACCAGGGCAAUGGCCCCCAGCUGCCGUGGUGGACACGCCAACAAAACCCUGUACACUGAGAAAUGGGCCGAGGCAGCACCCAGCCUUGACCCACGCGCCAGUAAUGCGUACAUGACGAACUCGCACGCCAGCCACGGCCUACGCCGGUUCAUACAGAAUGCUCGUCAGGGAGGCCUCAUCUGCCCGGCCCGGCUGGCUUUGUUUAAACUACGAGACAGCGACAAAUGUGGUCUCUGUGCCCACACCCAGCGCAGCCGCGGAUCUGACCCAGAGCGUGGCAGCGCAGGUCACCUUGCCGGCCACUGCGCGCACCCGCAACUCGUUGGCGCUAGGAUAGCCAAACACAACACUGCAGUGCGGACGAUUGCCGAAUGCCUACACCAUGGUCACAACGGUGGUGGCUACAUGAUAAUGGAUGCCACCUCCCGAGCUGAACUGCCUGAGUACUGUGCAGGCAUGCGGCCGCCGUCCUGGCUCUGCCCGCAAGUGCCCGCUGCAGACCUCAACAGGAUGCGGCCUGACAUUAUGUUUAUCCCGAACCUUCCCCGGUCCGAAGCAGAACGCUUCAUGACAUCCCCACCAGCCAACAUAGGGGCCUACCCAGUGUACAUCCUUGAAGUUGGAUACACCUCUGACCUGCACCACAGCGAGAAGCUCAUUCAAAAACAAGCACAGCACGCCACCCUUGCCACUGCCAUGCAAGCUGCAGGGUGGACUGUGCACUACGAUACUAAACACGUUAUUACACUGGGCCACGGUGGCACUGUCCCCCGUACCCUUGAAACUCUCCUCAAAGACCUAGGAGCCAAACCGCAGGCAGCCAAGGCCUGCUGCACACGUCUCCACAUGCAUAGCGUCACCACACUCCGGGGCACCGCAAACCUGUACUACCGGCUAGAGCGAGAGAUGGGCAUUGCCAACACCCGAUGCCGCCCGGGAGGCCGCACCCAGGGGCCCGCCAAUGGCGGCCCCCGCGCAGGGGAGCCGGGAUAGGGAAAUCAAGUUUUCCAAUGGUGGGGUGAGCUUCACACGGGUAUGACGCCGGUCUGGGAGAGGGGUCAAACGGCAGGGGCUGUAACAUGCACAUACGUGGUUGUACAAACUUGCCCUCCCGGCAACAUACCCCCUAUUGCCGCGGCGCACGUGGGGUUCUUUGUACAACCACGUAUGUAGCUGCUAUGUCACUUGGCGUCGGGGGGCUGCGUUCCGCCCUGCUUGACACGUCCGGCACGGCCGUGGGGUCGACCUCCAAUAUAGCUGCCGGUGUUAACCAUGUAUUAUGUACAUACUAUAUACACCCGAAAUACCGUGUCUGCGACCGAUUUGGUGGUGUCGCCGUUAACAUGCUCUACAAGUUUGCGCAGACAGCCUGCUUUUACGCCAAACUAGUUUGCCGUUGACUAUGCUAUAUCUCUUAAGACUGCUUUGAGGGUCCGGGGCUUGACAGUGCGACUCUGGCGAAAGCAUGCCUCGCGAAAUGUGCCGACAGCCACCCUCGCAAAACGCGAUGGGAGCCACACUUUAGCACCCUUAUACGUCAUAUAACUCAAUUCCUGAAAGAGGGAGGCUAAAUUUGCGCGAGCGCGGAGAAACACGUGUGGACACGUUCUUGCCCCUCUCCAGACCGGCGUCAUACCCGUGUGGGUGAGCUUGUCUCACUCCUCCUUAAGACACGCGGGCACCUGUGCCCUGCGUAGAUUUUAUUAUUAUUAUCACUGGCGUGGGCCUGGGCGUAUGUGAUUGGGGCAGCGGGCGGCGGUGGCGCCAGAGAGCGCAACGGCGGUACUGCGGCGGUGGCCCCCCCACAGGCCAUGGCUGCCGUCGUCGCCAGCGCUAGCGUUGGACGCGUGCUGCCCCCCGCCGGCGUCACCCCCGCGGCUGCACCAUCAGCUGCGCCAUCGCAUCAGGCGACGAGACAGCACUGGCGUGGGCCUGGGCGUAUGUGAUUGGGCAGCGGGCGGCGGUGGCGCCAGUGAGCGCAACGGCGGUACUGCGGCGGUGGCCCCCCACAGGCCAUGGCUGCCGUCGUCGCCAGCGCUAGCGUUGGACGCGUGCUGCCCCCCGCCGGCGUCACCCCCGCGGCUGCACCAUCAGCUGCGCCAUCGCAUCAGGCGACGAGACAGCACUGGCGUGGGCCUGGGCGUAUGUGAUUGGGCGGCGGGCGGCGGUGGCGCCAGUGAGCGCAACUGCGGUGCUGCGGCGGUGGCUCCCCACAGGCCAUGGCUGCCGUCGUCGCCAGCGCUAGCAUUGGACGCGCGUUGCUCCCCGCCGGCGUCACCCCAGCGGCUGCACCAUCAGCUGCGCCAUCGCAUCAGGCGACGAGACAGCACUGGCGUGGGCCUGGGCGUAUGUGAUUGGGCAGCGGGCGGCGGUGGCGCCAGAGAGCGCAACUGCGGUACUGCGGCGGUGGCCCCCCACAGGCCAUGGCUGCCGUCGUCGCCAGCGCUAGCGUUGGACGCGUGCUGCCCCCCGCCGGCGUCACCCCCGCGGCUGCACCAUCAGCUGCGCCAUCGCAUCAGGCGACGAGACAGCACUGGCGUGGGCCUGGGCGUAUCUGAUCGGUGCAGCGGGCGGCGGUGGCGCCAGUGAGCGCAACUGCGGUGCUGCGGCGGUGGCCCCCCCACAGGCCAUGGCUGCCGUCGUCGCCAGCGCUAGCGUUGGACGCGUGCUGCCCCCCGCCGGCGUCACCCCAGCGGCUGCACCAUCAGCUGCGCCAUCGCAUCAGGCGACGAGACAGCACUGGCGUGGGCCUGGGCGUAUGUGAUUGGGCAGCGGGCGGCGGUGGCGCCAGAGAGCGCAACGGCGGUACUGCGGCGGUGGCCCCCCCACAGGCCAUGGCUGCCGUCGUCGCCAGCGCUAGCAUUGGACGCGCGUUGCUCCCCGCCGGCGUCACCCCCGCGGCUGCACCAUCAGCUGCGCCAUCGCAUCAGGCGACGAGACAGCACUGGCGUGGGCCUGGGCGUUUGUGAUUGGGGCAGCGGGCGGCGGUGGCGCCAGAGAGCGCAACGGCGGUACUGCGGCGGUGGCCCCCCACAGGCCAUGGCUGCCGUCGUCGCCAGCGCUAGCAUUGGACGCGUGUUGCCCCCCGCCGGCGUCACCCCAGCGGCUGCACCAUCAGCUGCGCUAUCGCAUCAGGCGACGAGACAGCACUGGCGUGGGCCUGGGCGUAUGUGAUUGGGGCAGCGGGCGGCGGUGGCGCCAGUGAGCGCAACUGCGGUGCUGCGGCGGUGGCCCCCCACAGGCCAUGGCUGCCGUCGUCGCCAGCGCUAGCGUUGGACGCGUGCUGCCCCCCGCCGGCGUCACCCCAGCGGCUGCACCAUCAGCUGCGCCAUCGCAUCAGGCGACGAGACAGCACUGGCGUGGGCUUGGGCGUUUGACAUUGGGGCAGCGGGCUGGCCGCUGCCGCUGCUCACAUUCCCGGGGACUGCGAGGUAGCUCAAGGCAUGAACAGAGUGGAUAGGUGCUGUUGUGGCUGCGACGAUGCUUGUCCCAAGCAGCCGCGGCAGGGGCUAUGGUCACAGACGCCAUAUCACGGUGCUUUUAAGCGCCUCAAAUCCUGUGUUAUGAGUUCGAGGUUUGCACAGCACCGAGCCCCGGCCACAAAGCGUUUCCCCGGCUGUCCCGUAAAAGGCGCUAGGCACGAGCGGCGGUGCGUGUGCCUGAGAGCUUUACCCCGUAUCCAGCCCAGGGCAUAAGGUGUUCCCCCGGCUGUCCCUGAUAAGGCGUUGGGCGUGAACGGCGGUGCGUGUGCAUGGGAGCUUUACCCCGUAUCCAGUCCAGGGCAACAGGUGCUCCCCCGGCUUUCUUCAUACGGCGUUGGGCGUGAGCGGCGGUGCGUGUGCCUGAGAGCUUUACCCCGUAUCCAACCCAGGGCACAAGUCGUUCGCCCGGCUGUCCGUGAUAAGGCGUUGGGCGUGCGCGGCGGUGCGUGUGCCUGAUAGCUAAAUCCCAUAUCCAGCCCAGGGCACGAGGCGUUCCCCCGGCUUUCCUUCAUACGGCGUUGGGCGUGAGCGGCGGUGCGUGUGCCUGGGAGCUUUACCCCGUAUCUAGCACGAGGCACAAGACGUUUUCCCAGCUUUCCUGCUGCGGCAAUGGGCGUGAGCGGCGGUGCGUGUGCCUGAGAGCAGUGCCCCGUAUCCAGCCCCGAGCACAAGGCGUUCCCCCGGCUGUCGGCGUUAGGCAUCAGCUGAGGCGCGUGCGCAGAGAAGGCCCCCAGUGCGUUCGUAUUAAUCCCCCUUUAAACACCGCACAUGGCAAGACAAGCAAGUAAUAAUAAUAUUAAUAUCUACGCAGGGCACAGGUGCCCGCGUGUCUUAAGGAGGAGUGAGACAAGCUCACCCCACCAUCGGAAAACUUGAUUUCCCUACCCCGGCUCCCCUGCGCGGGGUCCGCCAUUGGCGGUCCCCUGGGUGCGGCCUCCCGGGCGGCAUCGGGUGUUGGCAAUGCCCAUCUCUUGCUCUAGCCGGUAGUACAGGUUUGCGGUGCCCCGGAGUGUGGUGACGCUAUGCAUGUGGAGACGUGUGCAGCAGGCCUUGGCUGCCUGCGGUUUGGCUCCUAGGUCUUUGAGGAGAGUUUCAAGGGUACGGGGGACAGUGCCACCGUGGCCCAGUGUAAUAACGUGUUUAGUAUCGUAGUGCACAGUCCACCCUGCAGCUUGCAUGGCAGUGGCAAGGGUGGCGUGCUGUGCUUGUUUUUGAAUGAGCUUCUCGCUGUGGUGCAGGUCAGAGGUGUAUCCAACUUCAAGGAUGUACACUGGGUAGGCCCCUUUGUUGGCUGGUGGGGAUGUCAUGAAGCGUUCUGCUUCGGACCGGGGAAGGUUCGGGAUAAACAGAAUGUCAGGCCGCAUCCUGUUGAGGUCUGCAGCGGGCACUUGCGGGCAGAGCCAGGACGGCGGCCGCAUGCCCGCACAGUACUCAGGCAGUUCAGCUCGGGAGGUGGCAUCCAUUAUCAUGUAGCCACCACCGUUGUGACCAUGGUGUAGGCAUUCGGCAAUCGCCCGCACUGCAGUGUUGUGUUUGGCUAUCCUAGCGCCAACGAGUUGCGGAUGCGCGCAGUGGCCGGCAAGGUGACCUGCGCUGCCACGCUCUGGGUCAGAUCCGCGGCUGCGCUGGGUGUGGGCACAGAGACCACAUUUGUCGCUGUCUCGUAGUUUAAACAAAGCCAGCCGGGCCGGGCAGAUGAGGCCUCCCUGACGAGCAUUCUGUAUGAACCGGCGUAGGCCGUGGCUGGCGUCCGAGUUCGUCAUGUACGCAUUACUGGCGCGUGGGUCAAGGCUGGGUGCUGCCUCGGCCCAUUUCUCAGUGUACAGGGUUUUGAUGGCGUAUCCACCACGGCAGCUGGGGGCCAUUGCCCUGGUGAGGCCCCGGUUUAGGUCCGACACGUAGUGCGUGGCUGUGCUAUCGUCGUCCCUGGUGACCGUGAAGGUCGGCCACCAGUGCCGGGCGUGCGGGUCGUUGUCGGCCGGUUCGGAUACAUCGGCGGUUUUUUCCUGGGUGGCGACGGCAGCCGCCCCUUUAUCGGCUUCCUCGUUGCCGUGUAGCCCGGUGUGCGAGAUCACUUUAAUCAGAGCGGUGGGUGCGCCCCGGGCGUGGCGUGCAUGGAGCAAUGCCACGAUUGAAUCCAGGAGGUCCCGAUGUUUACUCAGAUGCAGUCGCCGAGGCUCGUUGAUUGCUCGUUUGAUUAGGUACAAGCUUGCAACAGAAUCUGAUGCAAUAGUGAGCUUCUUAGUUGCAAAUUCUUUACCUUCGCCACCAAAUGCUGCGAGGGCAGCACGAAUUGCUGCCAGCUCAGCUCUCGUAAUAGUGUUAGUGCACCCAGCGCCAUUUGGAUCCACGUAGACAACGCGAGAAUCGCUGAACCAGGCGCAGGCGCCGGCAACCUGGACUUCUUUGCCAUUUUCAGUUUUGAUUUUGCUUACCGAACCAUCUGUCCAGACAGUGCCAUUCACGUCGUGGGCCAGAGCAUGGUGGGUCUGGAAUCGUGCGUUAGGAAAGCGUCGUGCUUCGUCAGCCAUGGCGUGUAUCGUCUUUGGGUUAGCGUGCUGGUAUUUGGCUUGCUUUAGAAGUGAGUUUGGGAGGGCCGGGCAGGUUGGGGCCGUGGCCGUGUGUGUCCAUGUGCGCGGGUCGCUGAUGUGCGUGGGUGUGUUCGCCCCCCGCUUCAGUGUGUCCACGAGCCGUUUCAGGCGGGGGGCAAAGCACUGGAGUCCGGCGGGGUUCCCAACAAUGACCAGUCGGAGCCCCUUCUGGCGUUCAGCCUGGGUGUUGGUGCCAAGUCCUGUGUCAAGGCCCGCGGUGCCCGCGGACCAGUUGGCCAGCUCGUGGCAAAGUGGGAGUUGAAGCCACUGCGUGUGGGGGAAAGUGGCCGCUUUGGGGAGCGCCAAUACAGUAAGGGUUGGUUCCUGUGAGUCACGCAUAGCCUCGGCGCAUGCGAGGGCCCACAUGAGCGCCUUCCGUGCAUCGUGGGGGGUAGAGGGGGGGUGGGCAUAUUGCAAGCCGGUCCAUGCGGUCUGGUAGGCAUCGUGCAGUGCGCCAAAGGCCCCAUCAGCAGGGUCUCGUGUCCAGUAUUCGUGGGCUGCAGUGGAGGAGUUUAGUGGGGACGCAAACAUUUCCCGAACGUGUACUGCUUGUGAGACCCGCAGGCAUUGGACGAUGGCAGCUACUGUGCCUGCCGGCAGCGACACCUGGUGCAUUGGCAUGGCCUUGCGGUCCUGCUGCGCCGGGUCAUAGCGGUAGCGCAUGAUGAGGGCAGCGACCGCUUCCUCAAAGGCGUUGGGCCGCUGGUUGCCGGUGUGCCUGAAGCGCUCCCACAGGGCAAGGAGGCGGGGGUAGGUGAUGGUGCCCAGCCAGCGGCCACUGGGUUCAUGGAUGUGCGCCUCAGCUGGGUCACGGCGGGUGCCACCAGUGGUGGUAAUAGUGUAUGCUCCGGGGGCCACGAUGUCCUUGUAGGGGUUGCACGGGCUUGUGGUGAUGGUGGUGGUCGUGCGGAUGUCACGCGCGCGGGAUGCGGUAUCCAGGGGCUCAGCGUCGUGGCGGCCUUGGCGCUGUCUGGCGGUAAGGUUCCGAUCAGGUGCGGGGCGCACUGUUCGGGGCCGCGGGCCUUGGUUGGUACCGUAUGCUCGCCGGGUUUUGCACUCCUCCAGUAGCUCCUCCCAUUGUGGACUGUGUUUUAGGUCCCGUUCACGGUCCGUGCUCGGCGCCCACGUGACAUGUCGCAGGAGUUUGGUCGUCCAGGACGAGAAUAGGGGGGCCCCAGUGGGCUGCGGUGCUGCCGGCUCUGCAGCUUGGGCAGGCUCUUCAGGUGCGAUUGCGUGGGCUUGGGUUUCAGCCGGAGGCUCAGCCUCGGUCUGUGCAGGUUGUGGGCAUGGGCGCGUCGCAAGUGGGUGCUUGUAGCACCUGGCGUUCUGGAUAGUUGCGUAGCCCAUGCGAACAAAAGCAGAGACAAUGCCGACAGGGCAAAUGGACGGCUUCCACUGCACCUUCCAGUAUUUCUCACGUGUCCCAGAGGUGUCCGCUCUGGCCUUGCGCUUCCGUGUCAGUUCUUUGUCCGUGUCAGUUUGUAUAUUUUCGCUGUGCAGGACCUGUGCCAGUUCCUGUCCGUCAUUGUCCAGGUCGUAGGUGAGUUGAGUGUCACCGUUAGUGCGGUUGUCGGUGGGCCGUGGGACUAGAUCGUGUGUGAUCCUGGCGCGGGCCAGUCGCCAGCUGGGACGGGCCCCGUGACCUCCCGCAGCUUGCACUGCCGGGGCGGUCAGGGGCGGCGCUGGGCUGUCGACGUCCAUGGGGUCGUUAUGAGCGGCAGCCUGGUUGGUUUCCAUAGGCAAUCCUGUGUUGUUCAGGUACUCGCUUAUGGCGUUGGGUUCGGGGUUGGCAGCAUUAGCCGUGAGGCGGGUUGUGAGGGCGGGUGGUAGCCCACGGCGCUGUUGGCGUGGUUCGACAGCAUGUGCAAGGGAUGGUGGGUCUUGGGGGUGUGGGUGGCCGAUCCGCAUGUGUCCUGUCAUGUCUUUGGCGAGCGCUUGGAAUACCGAGCAUGCCGUUUCGUACCCCCGCGUGCCCACCGGCAGGCUCUCAUCGCCGUUGGUGAGCCGCAGGGCAUGGUUGAUGGCGGCGCGGUCCCCGGUGAGUAGGUCCUCAGGGGUAGUGCGCGUGGUUUCUGCAAUGCGUGCGCGUUGCGCUGCAUGUUUUGUAACGCGCCGUGCGCGUGUUUGGUUCUGUGGUGGCCGGCGUGUUGUAGCCGGCUUGCGGGCUCUGGCCGGUGGCCGUAGGGAGGGUUGCGUUGCCCCAUCAGCGGGGACUUCCGGUGCAGCAGCACCUUGUGCGCCGGGAUGGGCCUGGGCCGCCCCUGCUGUGGAGUGGGGGGCUAGGUCGGCGGGGGCUUGCGUGGUGUUUGCUUGGGUGGGGGGCGCCUCCGGGAGGGGCUGCAGGUACCAGUCGAGGGGGUUGGCCAUUCCAGGGGGGAGGGGGUCGGGCCUCAUGGCUAAGGCCGCGAUUGCGGCCACGUCAGGCAGUGCACGCUGUGCGGUGGUCAGGGGGGCAGGGCUGCCGUGGGCUGGGGCGUUUUCCCCUGCACGUGCAGCCAUACUGAGAGCAAGGCUAAGCCUGUUCAGGGCUACCUUGUGCUUGUGUCGGACCCGGCUCGCUCCCAUGUGCUUCUCGAGGUCCGAGCUAGUAAUCAGGUGUUUGCCUGUGUUGCGGUCCACCAGGUGGCUCAGUUCGAGCCUCAGGUCCGCAAGAGGGAGGACGUAUUCAAUGGGGAGAGGUUCGACGCCCCGGGCCUCAGCUUCUGCCUCAAGGGCAGCGGCAAUGGACCAGGUAGGCGCAGUUAAGGCAGACCCAUUUUGGUACAGUGUGACACCGUACUCUUUUGCCAGGGUCAUCUGUUUCAGCGUCGUAAGGUGGUGUGACCUAUGGGCUGGGAGAAGGUGGGCCUGUGUGGGGCCAGCUAUGCUUGCCUGGCGCGGCAGAAGGGCUCGGGUUACUAUCCCAAGACGGCCCGAGUCAUUUAGGGCAAGGACCAGGGCUCGCUGGGCCACGCGCGCGUAUUGCGGCAGGAGGGAGCCCAGGCCCAAGCCGUAUUCGUCGGCGGGCAGGAGGCAGGUCCGGGUGGGGAAGCUGCGGGGGAGUCCGUAGCAGCGCUUUGCAAAACCAGCCGGGGUAGUGUCGAGCGUUGUUAUGUCCUGUUUUGUGAAGGGCAUUGCUGCGAAUCCAUAUGCAACUGUGGUGUGCACGCACUGUUGUAUCAUGCGCAGGCGUUGUGCCGGUGUCGCCAGGGAUGUGGCAAUGGCUGUGCCCUUGUCCUUCACAAUCUCGGUGACUCUUGCGACAUGUGCCGACCAGUCCAGCGAGAACGUGAGCUGCACUCCCAGGUACUUGUACGGCUGGAUCGGGGGGAAGUACGGGGCAGGGGUCGUGCCAAUCUUAAUUGUGUUGGUCAUGUUGCGGCGCAUGGCGGCGAGGGUAGCUUUUCCUGUGAGCCCGUCAAGGUUGGGGUCCGAGCGAGACUUGUCGUGCCAGAUGGCGGUGGUGGCACACUUGGUGUGAUUGACACGCAGGCUCGCCCACUCGGCGUAAGAUGUGAUUUUGUCACAUUGAACCUGCAGGUCGUCGAGCGAGUUGGUGAGCGCCGCCAGGUCGUCUGCGUACGCGGCGGCACUGCAAUGGUAUUGCAGGUUUUCGCUGGGGGUCAGGCAGCCGUAGUGGUAGCCCCGUCCGCCCGCAUGGAGCCAGCGGACAAGAGGUUCCAUGAACAGAAUAAAGAGCACAGGUGAGAGUGUAUCACCUUGCACGGUGCCUCGCUCUAUAGGAAUGGCGGAUGUGCUUCCGUGUUCGGUGCGGAUGCGGGUGGUCGCAUGUGCAUAUAGGUUGCGGACUGCGCGGAUCAGGUCCGUUGGCAGCCCAAGGUCAAACAUAAUUUGUAGUAAUCUGUCCUGGUCGAUUGUGUUAAACGCGGAGCUAUAGUCCACGUAUACCGCAUAGACAUCUUUUCCAAACAGUGCGGCAUCCUCAAGGGCAUGUACUAAAUUUAGGACCUGCCUUUCGGUGUUGCAGUAGGCACGGAAGCCUUCCUGCGCUUCACUGAAUAGCUGGAGGGGGCCAGCCAGUUCGCCAAUGCCCAAGGUAAGCAUGGACGUGUACAGCUUGUAGCAGGUGUUUGCGAGCGCAAUGGGCCGUUUGUUUUUUAUGUCCAGGGCGUCUCCAGGUUUGGGGAGUAGCACGGUCUCCGAUGCGGCCCAGGUGAGCGGCGGUGCGUGUGCCUGAGAGCAGUGCCCCGUAUCCAGCCCCGAGCACAAGGCGUUCCCCCGGCUGUCGGCGUUAGGCAUCAGCUGAGGCGCGUGCGCAGAGAAGGCCCCCAGUGCGUUCGUAUUAAUCCCCCUUUAAACACCGCACAUGGCAAGACAAGCAAGUAUCAAGUAUGCGGCCAACCAAGUUUAAGUGUUGCAUGGGGCACUGCUUCCAAACUCUUUGCGGCACUUCCUUCUUUGCCAGUUCAAUGUAUAUAUACUGUACCCUUCUAUGCAUAUCACACACUACUGAAGACACGUCAAAGCUUUCAGUAUGUAGAGACCCGCAAACAGUUCUCUGCCACUCGGCAGAGGACGCCCUCGCCCUGCUAUGUUUGCUGUUAAGGCCCAGUCUCCACUAGUGACGCUAUGUGGCGCACAGGUGCGCCUUGCAGUGGCCAUAACGCUGGGUUGUUGCAGGGGUGGUGACGUCGUUGACCGAGCGCAAUAUUUAUUGCCCAUCUUCAAUUCGUUCAUGUUCAGGCUCAACAAAAGCAUUUCAAAAGGCUACAGAGUGGCGCAGGUGAGGCGGGGGUACCAUCCGCGCGACUUGGUUGCUAGCUUCAGAGGGUGUCAGCAUGAGAGCAUGCGCAUGCUACGGUGUCUGUAUAAUGGCACCGUACAAGCCUGUCAUCAGUUCAUGCUCAGUUCUCAGUCCUGGUACCCUCCCGCCCUCCCUCAGGACUCCGGCCGCACGAAGGGCCACCCGUGCGGACCACCCCUGGGUGGGCUAGACGUGGCGCACCCGCACGUUAACCCCAACAGGCAAGUCUAUGUCCAGAUAGUAUUUCGCAAUUGCUGAAGUAAGCACUGCAUGAGUACCGUGUCUGCAGAUGAACAUGGGGGGAAAGGUACCUUGCGUCAUACCCUCUGAUAUGCCUAAUAUGGUUUUGUGGUUCCUGACCGAAUCGUCCUGAACACUAUGCAGGCUUACGAAGGGCAGCACGGGUGUGGCUAGCUGUGGACUGGAGCGCUGGCACCGGCAGCAUGCGGAGUCUGCGGCAGCACUGUGCAGCAGGUCGGACGUUGUGGUUGUCGUUGUGUGUUUGGCAAGGCUUGAGUAUGGGCACUCCUGUGCCGCUUAUGCCUUGGCGGGUGGCGUUUGGUUGUUACCCGGAAGUGGCUACAUACGCAUCUGUAUUCAUGUUACGGUAGGGCACGUUCGGUGAGCGAGGAGGUCGAUGGGUGACAGGGCAUGUGGAGCGGGCAGACUUCCUUUCCACGGUGUGCGAUGGCGGACUAAAAGCCUAAGGAGAGGCUGGUGGAUGGAGGCGGACUUCACGCCUUCAGAGAAACAGGCCGAAUCCUCGUUUAUACUGGACGCGCGGCACGUGCCGUUGCACAAACUGUAACACAAGAGAGCAGUUGAGGGAAUUGGCUUCGUGUGCCCCACGUGUGCGUGCAUGCAUGCGGGUGGGAAGCGUGCAGUGGGGGGCAGCUGCUUGCGUUAGGUAACGCACAUGCGUCCCGCAUGCGCCAUGGCAUGCGUAGUACUUCACGCAUCCGGCAUAUGUGCAUCACGCAUGCGUAUGGCAUGCGUUCGGGACGCAUGCGUACAUCCAGAAAGAGUCGCUGCGGCCGCUAGCCAACACCAGCAUGCGUUAGGUAACGCAUGCUCUGGUAGCACACGCAUGCGUAUGGGCGGGCACCGCAUGCGUACAGCACAUGCUUUUCAAGCGUUAAGCACAACCCGGGUUCACUCGGGGCGUGCCCAUACACGCCGCACCGUCCAAAGACCAAACCUUGCCUAAGGCUUAUACAUGACAUAUGUAUGUUAUGACUUGUUGUUUUAAGCCCUGGCGCGGCCUGCCCGCUCGCCGAGCUCGUGAAAUGCAGCGACAUGCCCGACAAUGUACACGAAGAGCUGCUUUUAGCCCUCGCAAAGCCUUGAAUUCCCAUUCUCAUAGCUGAAAGUAGACACGGCACCAAUCACGGCUUGAAAAAUGGCUCCUCGAGGGACCUCGGUCGCGAAAUUGCCGGUCGGCAGAGCCUCACAUUUUGCCCCGGGAUACGUUCCAAUGCAAUAUUGGGUAUCUAAAUAACAUAUUGAGUGAGUUACUGCUCUCUCGAGCACGAUCGGACCGACACGCGCCCAUCGGGCACAUGCCUGGCGGGCCAAAACCCGCCCAUUUCGACCUCAGGCGAGCGUGGACCGCCCUCCCACUUGACCAGCAAGUCAUUACUACAUGCACAGAGGGGCUGAGAGCGUGGGGGACUCAGGGGAGACCAGUUUGGCCACGGGGACCCCCCUGCCCACCCCCAUGACCCCCCGCACGGGAAGGGCCGUACGGCAGUGGUAGUACUGUCGGACGGUGAAUCUGACACGAAUUGUGGGGGGUAGGUAAGGUUGGUUGGCUUGCCCCUUCCCCCGAAGGGGGAGGGGCAAUAGCCAUUGCGGUCGCAUCGAGUCCCAGGGCGGGCCCCCUCGGUUAUUCCAGUUUUGACUUGAGUUAUAACCUGGAAACCCGAGCGCAGCGAAAUUUAUCAUGCAAAUAACGCGCCUUUCUAUGUAUGUAUUGCAAAGCGUAACAUUAUGAAAACGCAAGCCCUACGCCAGAGCGGGGUAAACGCACAAGCGCAGCGUUUGCAUUAGAGCUCCAGCGCAACAUAC